rnacentral:rRNA from 1 species
UACGGAGGGGGCUAGCGUUAUUCGGAAUUACUGGGCGUAAAGCGCACGUAGGCGGCUUUGUAAGUAAGAGGUGAAAGCCCGGAGCUCAACUCCGGAACUGCCUUUUAGACUGCAUCGCUUGAAUCCAGGAGAGGUGAGUGGAAUUCCGAGUGUAGAGGUGAAAUUCGUAGAUAUUCGGAAGAACACCAGUGGCGAAGGCGGCUCACUGGACUGGUAUUGACGCUGAGGCGCGAAAGCUAGGGGAGCAAACGGG